rnacentral:rRNA from 1 species
CUAUGCGCCUUGCCAGCCCCGCUCAGAAACUUAAAGGAAUUGACGGGGCCCGCACAAGCGGUGGAGCAUGUGGUUCAAUUCGACGCAACGCGAAGAACCUUACCUGGGCUAGACAACAGUGGACCGUCCUAGAGAUAGGAUUUUCCCUUCGGGGACCGCUGGUUCAGGUGCUGCAUGGCUGUCGUCAGCUCGUGCCGUGAGGUGUUGGGUUAAGUCCCGCAACGAGCGCAACCCUCGUACUUAGUUGCCACCAUUCAGUUGGGCACUCUAGGUAGACUGCCGGCGUUAAGCCGGAGGAAGGUGGGGACGACGUCAAGUCAUCAUGGCCCUUAUGCCCAGGGCCACACACGUGCUACAAUGGGCGGCACAAAGGGUCGCGAACCCGCGAGGGGGAGCCAAUCCCAAAAAGCCGUUCUCAGUUCGGAUUGGAGUCUGCAACUCGACUCCAUGAAGUUGGAAUCGCUAGUAAUCGCGGAUCAGCACGCCGCGGUGAAUACGUUCCCGGGCCUU